GGUAAUAAAGAGGUUUUUAUAAUUAACGUUCCAACAUUAUUAUUUUGGUUUUAGUACGAACAUAAACAAACACAUCACACGAAAUUUGUUUACAUAGCAUUCUGAUGAACACACAAAAGAAAAAUUGAAAAACUUAAGAGAGAAACGACUUUGGCAACAAUAUAUCAAAGAAGAUGAAAAGAAAAAGAAUCACAAUUCACAAAAUACUUAUAUAUGAUGAACUCAUCAGUAGAUGUAGCCAGCCACAAGAGCCACGGUGACUGCGGCCAAGCCGGUGAACAUAUCAGCAGCAACAAUGACAGCGGCGUUUGGUGAUUUAGCCGGUGCAUGGUCGUGACCAUCGUGAUCAGCGUGACCCUCGUGAUCAUCGUGUCCCUGAGCCGAGACCAUCGCAAUCAUCAACGCCAACACUAGACAAGCUACACUGAUUUGAACAAAGAUCUUCUUCAUCAUUUUAGUUGGACGUCUCUUUGAAAACGUUGCGUUUCGAACUUUCGAUUGAGUUCGAUGAGUGUAAGAUCAGAUUCGGAUGUGUUUUUGUUAUGAGAAUGGGAUUGUUAAAAGUAGGUUUAUAUAGAGGAUUUAAC
rnacentral:lncRNA from 1 species